AGCCCUGUAGUAUAGUGGUCAAGUAUAUCGGGUUCUGGUCCCGAGGACACCGGUUCAAAUCCGGUCAGGGCUA
rnacentral:tRNA from 1 species